UGAGGAAUAUUGGUCAAUGGGCGAGAGCCUGAACCAGCCAAGUAGCGAGCAGGAUGACGGCCCUAUGGGUUGUAAACUGCUUUUAUGUGGGGAUAAAGUGCGUGACGUGUCAUGCAUUGCAGGUACCACAUGAAUAAGGACCGGCUAAUUCCGUGCCAGCAGCCGCGGUACUACGGAAGGUCCGGGCGUUAUCCGGCUUUAUUGGGUUUGAAGGGAGCGUAGGCUGUCUAUUAAGCGUGUUGUGAAAUUUACCGGCUCAACCGGUGGCUUGCAGCGCGAACUGGUCGACUUGAGUAUGCAGGAAGUAGGCGGAAUUCAUGGUGUAGCGGUGAAAUGCUUAGAUAUCAUGACGAACUCCGAUAGCGCAGGCAGCUUACUGUAGCAUAACUGACGCUGAUGCUCGAAAGUGCGGGUAUCAAACAGG
rnacentral:rRNA from 1 species